CCCUAUGGGGUGCAGCAGGAGGAGGGCCUGGCCGUCACGUACGAGGCUCUGCGGCUUAGCAGGACGUGCGGCUUUGCCCUGCAGGAGGUUGCGUGCCUGCUGGAGUGCGGACGCAUCGAACAGGCGAUGGGGCACCUUGACGACGCCACAACUCACUUCGAGCAGGCAGUGGAGGUUGCAGAGAGCCACCAUAUGGGCGACCUCCUUCCCCCUGCGCUGGAGUCGUUGUCCUCAGCCAGGGCAGCCGCCGGUCGGUUCGAGGAAGCCUACCAGUUCCUGCUGAAGUCUGUCACGACCGCGCGCGCCUGGUCCAGCGCGGAGGCCGCGCGCAAGCUUGCCGAACUCGCGACUGGCUACCGUCUUGAGAAGGUCCAGCACGAGGCGGAAUUGGCGGGAGGGC
rnacentral:rRNA from 1 species